AGGAGGAACAACCACAGUGGCAGCGGCCAGCUCUGGAGCCCUGGAUUCAGCUCCUGCAGUAACUAUGGAGCUAUCAGUCUGCAGGGGCCUGGAGGCUCCGGGGCGGG
rnacentral:pre_miRNA from 1 species